CGCCCGCUUUUACCCGGCUGGUUUGGGUCUUGGAAGGCGGGUCGGGAAGGAAGGUUGGGUUUCAGGUCCACCCAGCAUGAUUAAACUUCAGUCCGGCGCCAGGCUGCGCAUGCGAGCCGGCUACCCUGCCGGGGUACUCGUAGGUUCAGUCAACAAACACGGAGGCCCUAGCACGUGCGAGACACUGCAGAAACAAAAACGGUGAAUCCUGGACCCCCUCUCCUCUCGCCCCACACUUCCUGUGAUGCCCAUUACCCUCUUGUUCCACUCAAGUAAAUUUCUGCACAUCUCUCAAGACUCUUCAAAUAUCAAGGCAGACUGGAAAGUUCAUCCACUAUGGAGUUAGGAAGAUCUGAGAGUUACAACUCUAGCAUCAUCCCUCACUAGCUGUGUGGCAUUGAACUUUAACUCCACGAAGACAAAAAGUGGAGUCAUCUCUCAGAAUCCACAGAAGAUUUGAUUCCUGCCUCCACCCCGUCAAAAUCCAAGGAUGCUCAAGUCCCUUAUAUAAAAGUAUAUUUGCAUAUAACCUACACAUAUCCUCCUAUACACUAAAUCAUCUCUUGGUUACUUAUAAUACCUAAUACAAUGCAAAGCUAUGUAGAUAUCUAUAAAUACAAAGUAAAUUCUAUUUUAAAUAGUUGCCAGGCACACAGCAAAUUCAAGUUUUGCUUUUUGGAAUUUUUUUUUCAAUAUUUUUGAUCCAGUUUGUUGAAUCUGCAGAUGCAGAACCCUCAGAUAUGGAGGGCAGAUUGAAUAUCUUUUCAUCAUUGUAAUCUCUUAUACCUUGCAUCUUUUAUAUUGGAUGCAUAGUAACUAAAACUAAAAAGAAUGAUACAUAACACAAGCAUUUAUAUUUUCCAAAACAGCAUUAACCUAUCAUACAUAAAACAAUGGCUAGGAGUUCUCUUGUGGUCCACCAAAUUAAGGAUCCAGUGUUAUCACUGCAGUGGCUCCAAGUUCCAUUCCUGGCCCAGGAAUUUCCAUAUGCUGCAGGUGUAGCCCAAAACAAACAAACAAAACAAUGGCUAAUUAAAACAUCCAUAGAAGUACUUGUUUUGUACUAUGGGACAGAGGGAGAAGAAGAAUAAGAAUAUGAUAGCUAAACUGGAGAUUCGUAUUCUGGACUGUUAGAUUUUCAUUUAUAGUCUGUCUGGAGAAUCUGGUUAUAAGUUGACUAAGUUCAAAACAGAAAGCACAAACAAGAAGGUAUACCAAACCAUUUUUUAAUUAAGCUUUAAGAAAAACCUGAAUUAAAUGAAAUAGCAAAACACAGGUCAGUAAUUAUUUAUUGUUUAUUCUCUUCUUACAAAAAGACACUUGGACCAAAUAAAUAUAAAAUGGUAUAUGUCUUAUUUAGCAAUGGGCAAAUACAAGUUUUCUUGGUAUUCUCCACAGAGAUAAACUAAUGAAAUUUUCAGAAGUACACUCAUCUUAUCCACUUCCCACCCUCUAUGAAAAGGCCAAUCUACAAUUUUUAACAAUGGAUUCUCAAAAUAAGUAAUCUAAAGCUGACUCAAGGCCUAAGACAUCUGAAUCAAGCUAAUAAUAUGUAUAUAAUAAAAUGUUGCCCAGAAACCUCAACUAAUUCAACUAAUGAACAUUCUUACAAAUUUUUCAUUUCUCAUAAUCUGUACCUAGAUUAGAGAGUCUGUUAUUUUCAAAUCUGCAUGGCAAAUAAAAUGAACAGGAAGCAGAAUACAAUAUGUACACUUUUCUGUCCUAAGAGAAAACAUUAAAUAUAGGUAUAUUUAAUAUACAGUGAACAUGCCAUGUAUUUUCUUAAAUCCAACAAAUCCUGAUUUUUCUAUACCUUGCAGGUGAUGCAGCAGAAGGCAAUCAAAUAUCAAAAUCAUUUGUGACCAAAUUUAGCUAAUAAAAUUAGCUUAAAAAAAAAAAAA